GCCGCAAUAGCUCAGCUGGUAGAGCACAUCAUUCGUAAUGAUGGGGUCGGGGGUUCGAAUCCCUCUUGCGGCACCA
rnacentral:tRNA from 34 species